GCCAGUUGGAAGUAAAUAGUAACUGCGGCUUGGAAGUGAAGCCGAUUGAAUGAAGUUAUUAGCCGUGUUGUAGGAUGAAUAAUAGUUGCUAGCAGUUUGCCAUAGAGCUGUGAUUUACUUUAUUGCUGUAAUUUACUAUCUAAGGUCUCUUUAGAAGGCUUUACAGGAGGUCAGAGGUCACUACUAACUCGAAAGUAAAGCCACCUAUACCUGGAAGAAAAUAGACUCGCCAGCCAGCCCUAGCGAGGGGUCCGACACUCCUUUAAAUCUUGUACACCCUUCGCCUAAAUCUUUGGUAAAUCUCUUAAAUCUUGGGUAAAUCUAAAUCUUUAUCUGACCUAUGAACCUUCUCCAUUCGAGGUGCAUGCACUAUCUGCAUGCACUAUCUAUUACAUUAUGCAUAGAUACUAUUGUAUCUAUGUAUUGUGCAUCACUUUAUAAUUAUAUUCGCUAUACAAAGACUGUACUGAGUGACUGAAUCAAGUGUCUAUUGUGGAAUUCCGACUGACAGGUCUAUUGCUACUGAUAUUAUCUUAAUAUCUAUAGGCUCUGCAGAAAGAUGGCUACAUGUGAUAUUCACCCGGACCCAGCUUCACUCAGCGACAAAGAUUUUCUCGCUCUCAUGCAUGAUAACUUCCACCGUAUGUUGUAAAGUGUUAGCCUAGUUGUUCGCCUAACCGUUAUAAAAGCGAAAACUCGGCCUGGGAUCGAGGCUAGUAAAGUGUAUGCUUGCUGCUGGAUUCGAUGUUGUUGAAGUGGUUGCAUCAAUGGAUCUCAGUGUGACAAGCCUGGGAAUUCAAUUGACAUAAUUGAGAAAUUUAUUAACCAACAUUUUUCUGGUAACAAUGAGUACACACUAUCUCUGAAACCUUUUGUUUUCCUCUACCUCCAGAUUCUCUCCAAGUUGUACACAUUACUAAUAGAAAUCAUUGGGCCACAGUCUCCACGAUAGGAGUGGGACAACUGCAAGACACUGAUGUCUUCCUAUAUGACUCAUUGUACUCUCAUACAGAGAUUAGUUUGACCACCAAAAUUCUACUUGCAAAGUUGCUAAAUUCAAGUAAACAUUUCAUUAGACUGUGUGUUCCACAAAUGCCAAAGCAGU